AGAAUCAACGCUGGCGGCGUGCCUAACACAUGCAAGUCGAACGGGAAAGUGGGAGCAAUCCCACGAGUAAAGUGGCGCACGGGUGAGUAACACGUGACUAACCUACCCUUGAGUGGGGGAUAACCUAGGGAAACCUGGGCUAAUACCGCAUAAUACCUACGGGUCAAAGGAGCAAUUCGCUUUAGGAGGGGGUCGCGGCAGAUUAGUUAGUUGGCGGGGUAAUGGCCCACCAAGACAGUGAUCUGUAU
rnacentral:rRNA from 1 species